GACGAACGCUGGCGGCGUGCCUAACACAUGCAAGUCGAGCGGGAACCUCUCGAGGGGUAACCCUUGGGAGGGGAGAGCGGCGAACGGGUGAGUAACACGUGGGCAACCUGCCCCGGACACCGGGAUAACCCAGGGAAACCUGAGCUAAUACCGGAUACUCCGGCGUGAUCGCAUGGUCGCGCCGGGAAAGCUCCGACGGUCCGGGAUGGGCCCGCGGCCUAUCAGCUUGUUGGUGGGGUAACGGCCCACCAAGGCGACGACGGGUAGCUGGUCUGAGAGGACGGCCAGCCACACUGGGACUGAGACACGGCCCAGACUCCUACGGGAGGCAGCAGUGGGGGAUCUUGCGCUAAUGCGCGAAAGCGUGACGCAGCGACGCCGCGUGGGAGAUGAAGGCCCUCGGGUUGUAAACCCCUUUCGGCAGGGACGAAGCGAAAGUGACGGUACCUGCAGAAGAAGUCCCGGCUAACUACGUGCCAGCAGCCGCCGUAAGAC
rnacentral:rRNA from 1 species